GACGAACGCUGGCGGCGUGCUUAACACAUGCAAGUCGAACGGAAAGGCCCUGCUUUUGUGGGGUGCUCGAGUGGCGAACGGGUGAGUAACACGUGAGUAACCUGCCCUUGACUUUGGGAUAACUUCAGGAAACUGGGGCUAAUACCGGAUAGGAGCUCCUGCUGCAUGGUGGGGGUUGGAAAGUUUCGGCGGUUGGGGAUGGACUCGCGGCUUAUCAGCUUGUUGGUGGGGUAGUGGCUUACCAAGGCUUUGACGGGUAGCCGGCCUGAGAGGGUGACCGGCCACAUUGCGACUGAGAUACGGCCCAGACUACUCUGGGAGGCAGCAGUGGGGAAUAUUACACAAUGGGCGGAAGCCUGAUGCAGCAACGCCGCGUGCGGGAUGACGGCCUUCGGGUUGUAAACCGCUGUCGCCUGUGACGAAGCGUGAGUGACGGUAAUGGGUAAAGAAGCACCGGCUAACUACGUG
rnacentral:rRNA from 1 species